GGCGGCGACGCUGGUGCCGGCCCAUUAUUACUUUUGGUACGCGCUGUGACACUUCAAACUCGUACCGUGAGUAAUAAUGCGCUGCGGCCAGCCCUGGCGAC
ensembl:miRNA